rnacentral:rRNA from 1 species
GUAGGGAAUAUUGGACAAUGGGCGCAAGCCUGAUCCAGCCAUCCCGCGUGAAGGAUGAAGGUCCUCUGGAUUGUAAACUUCUUUUCUUCGGGAAUAAAAACUGGGGUUCUCCUCAGCUUGAAGGUACCGAAGGAAUAAGCACCGGCUAACUCCGUGCCAGCAGCCGCGGUAAUACGGAGGGUGCAAGCGUUAUCCGGAUUCACUGGGUUUAAAGGGUGCGUAGGUGGCUUUGUAAGUCAGUGGUGAAAGCUCGGAGCUCAACUCCGAAACUGCCAUUGAUACUGCUUAGCUUGAAUCAGGUCGAGGUGGAUGGAAUGUGACAUGUAGCGGUGAAAUGCUUAGAUAUGUUACAGAACACCGAUUGCGAAGGCAGUUCACCAGCCCUGUAUUGACACUGAGGCACGAAAGCGUGGGGAUCAAACAGGAUUAGAAACCCUUGUAGUCC